AUGCCGAUGCCGAUGCCGCCGGCGCUCCCGUGCUUGCUCCUCCUCCUGCUUGUCGCCCCUCUCCUCGCGACGCCCACCACGAUCCCGCUCUACCGCCACCUCCCGCCGCUCCCGCCCGCCGCCGCGCAGCACCACCCGCUCUCCCGCCUCGCCCAGGCCUCCCUCGCGCGCGCCUCCCGCCUCAGAGCCGGCCACGGUCACCACCAAGGCCAAGCCUCCGCCUCAACCCCCGUGCGCGCCGCGCUGUACCCGCACUCCUACGGCGGCUACGCCUUCUCCCUCUCCCUCGGCACGCCGCCGCAGCCGCUGCCGGUGCUGCUCGACACGGGCAGCCACCUCACCUGGGUGCCCUGCACAUCCAACUACCAGUGCCAGAACUGCUCCAGCGCCGCCGCCGCCGGCUCCUUCCCCGUCUUCCACCCCAAGAGCUCCUCCUCCUCCCUCGUCGUCUCCUGCAGCAGCCCCUCCUGCCUCUGGAUCCACUCCAGGUCCCACCUCUCCGACUGCGCCCGCAACUCCGCCCCCUGCAGGCCCAGCACCGCCAACUGCUCCGCCACCGCCAAGAACGUCUGCCCGCCCUACCUCGUCGUCUACGGCUCCGGCUCCACCGCGGGGCUCCUCGUCUCCGACACGCUGCGCAUGUCGCCACGGGGCGCCGCCAUGCGCAACUUCGCCGUGGGCUGCAGCCUCGCGUCCGUGCACCAGCCGCCGUCGGGGAUCGCGGGGUUCGGCCGCGGCGCGCCGUCCGUGCCGGCGCAGCUCGGGGUCAACAAGUUCUCCUACUGCCUCCUCUCGCGCCACUUCGACGACGACGCCACCGUCAGCGGCGAGCUCGUCCUCGGCGCCUCCUCCGCCGGCAAGGCGAAGGCGAUGCAGUACGCGCCGCUGCUCAAGAACGCGGGCGCCAGGCCGCCAUACUCCGUGUACUACUACCUGUCGCUGGCCGGCAUCGCGGUGGGCGGGAAGAGCGUGGCGCUCCCGGCGCAGGCCUUCGCGCCCGUGUCCGGCGGCGGCGGGGGCGGCGCCAUCAUCGACUCCGGCACGACCUUCACCUACCUGGACCCGACGGUGUUCAAGCCGGUGGCGGCGGCGAUGGUGGCCGCGGUGGGGGGCAGGUACAACCGGUCCAAGGCCGUGGAGGACGCGCUGGGCCUGCGCCCCUGCUUCGCGCUCCCGGCGGGCGCCAAGACCAUGGACCUCCCCGAGCUGUCGCUCCGCUUCACGGGGGGCGCCGAGAUGCGGCUCCCGAUCGAGAACUACUUCCUGGCGGCGGGCCCGGCGUCCGGCGAGGCCCCCGAGGCGAUCUGCCUGGCCGUGGUGUCGGACGUGUCGAGCGCGAGCGGCGGCGCCGGGGUGUCCGGCGGGGGCGGGCCGGCCAUCAUCCUGGGCAGCUUCCAGCAGCAGAACUACCACGUGGAGUACGACCUGGAGAAGAACCGGCUCGGGUUCCGGCCGCAGCCCUGCUCCUCGUCGUCGUAG
rnacentral:rRNA from 1 species